GUGCUUGCUUUGACAGCUCUAAUGCUAAAAUUGGAACAAUGCAGGGAAGACUAGCAUAGGCCUCUACAAGAAUGACAUGCAAAUUCGUGACACAUUCCGUGUAUUC